rnacentral:lncRNA from 1 species
UGAACCGAUUUUUUGUCUAUGUGAACAUAGAAGUAAUUUUCUUGCACUUGAUCUGUAAAAUAGGACAGAGAUACAACCGCACCUGGCCCUUGCACCAUCUGGCAUCUUUUGGCCGUCUUCUGCCGCUGGCGCACAAUCCAAUGAACCAUUUUUUUUUUUGUUCAUACAGAAUCCAAUGAGCUAAGUUGGUGUAGCAAUCCAAUCCAAUGAACUAGAUAAGAGUUAGUGCUAGAUGCAGCAAUUCUAUUUCAGUUUCAGACUGGGCACAGCCGCACAGGGCAACUAAUAUAAUGUGUCAAAUGGAGCUAAAGCAUCGAAACUAGGUGGACAUUCGCAAGACAAGGCAAGAUUUAGAAUACUCAGAUUAUACAUUUUGGCAUCUCUGGAUUGAAAUUCUUGUGUACUGUAUGUCGCGAGGAACACGGAACUCCGUUGCGUUUGUGCUAAUCAGGAAUUACAGGCAGAGUGGACAGCAGGAAAAUGAGAAAAAGAAUUAUAUAUAGCAGGAGCCCCGCACCACACAAGUCACAAGGGCUCAGGCGAGGGCUUCGGCACCGGCGACGAUCUCGAGGAUCUCCCCGGUGAUCUUGGCCUGGCGCUGUCGGUUGUAGGCGAUGGAGAGGUUCUUGGCGAGCUCGAUGGCGUUGUCGGUGGCGCUGCUCAUGGCGCUCAUCCGGGCGGCGAGCUCGCUGGCGAGCGACUCCUGCAGGGCACGGAGGAUCUGGCUGUUGAGGUAGAGCGGGAGCAGCGCGUCGAGGAUCUGCACGGGGUCCUGCUCGAACUGCACCACGGGGGAGAAGGGCUGCGUCUCGAUCUUCACCUUCUCGCGCUCCACGGUGAGCUUGCCCUCCUUGGUGGUGAGGCGGAAGAGCUCGUCCUCGGUGGCGUCCACGCAGACGCCGUUGAUGUCGCAGAUCUCGCCCUUGGGGGACAUGGGGAGCAGCGUCUGGAUGAUGGGGUCGGAGCGCACCAGCGACACGAACUUGGAGUAGAGCAGCUCCACCUUGUCCACCUCCUCCGAGACGAAGAGCGAGUAGACGAGGUCGCAGAUGGACUGCGAGUCCUUGACGGUGGGCACGCCGUUCACCUCCAGGUCCCGCUCCAGCGGGAUGUAGGGGCGGCGCUGGAAGUAGGCGUUGCCUUUCUUCCCCACGCUGAUGACGCUGUACUGGAGGCCCAGCUGCUUGAGCUCCUCGAUGCGGGCCUCCGCCUUCUUGAGCACGUUGUUGUUGAAGCUCCCGCAGAGGCCGCGCUCGCCGGUCAGGACCACGAGCGCCACCUUCUUGACGGGGCGGGUGCGGGUGAGGGGCAGGUCGAUGUCCUCCGUCUGGAUCUCCUGGUUCAUGUUGUAGAGCACCUCAACCAGCGCCUCCGAGAAGGGGCGGGAGGAGACGACGGCCUCCUGCGCGCGCCGGACCUUGGCGGCGGCCACCAGCUUCAUGGCCUCCGUGAUCUUCUGCGUGUUCUUGACGGAGUCGAUGCGGGUGCGGAGCUCGCGGAGGGAGCACCGCACCACGAGGCCCGAGCGCGGGGCGGAGCUUCCGCGCCGCUGGGUGGUGGAGGCGCUGCUGGCGAGCGCCGAGGAGGACCAGGCGGUGGAGAGGUGGGAGCACGACAUGGCUGCUGCUGCUGGUCCGCGGCGACGGGGAUCACCAGCGGGCGGCGGCGCGCGGGGGGGAAGCAGAAGAGACAGACAGGGGCGGGGACGGAACGGGAGGGAGGGAAAUGGGUUUGGAAGGAUUGGGUUUGGGUGGAGAGGUGAGCACGGUGGGGUAUUCAAGCCGAGCUGAGUGGUGGAGGGGCAGUGACGGCGAGAUGGGGAGGAUCAUGUGGCUCCGCCGAGCUGGCUGCACCCCCUGCAUACCGCUGACGCUCCACACUUCAUUUUUUGAUGAAUUGUCGGGAAUGAAAAACCAAAAAUAAUGCUAUGGCCUCUAGUUCCACAAAGGAUAGUGGGAUCCUGCUCAGGAUAUCCCACCUUAAACAACAGAUACUCUCUACGACCACAAUUUGGAGGAGCUCUUGCCCAUUUCUACAGGAAUCGAAUUAUUUCCACUGAAAUCCUGAAUAAUUUAUGUGUUCAAAAAGGAACCCAAGUUUAAGGCCUGUCCCGAACACAUCAAUUUCAUCACAAUUCCGAGAUAAAAAUGGAACUUUGAUGAUUCAAUCUGUUGAGUUGAAUUCACUCGUAUAAAAAAACGGCUCACCUAAACUGAUGCAAAGUUCAUGCCAAAAGAAGUAGAGACUGAUGAAAUUGGUAUUUCAAGAUAAAGCAAGGUACUCGAACAAGCACACAGACUGAGUGAUACAUACAAGUACAAAAUAUCAGGAUUAAGGGGAUGCAACCAAUUCUGGGAAGUAAAAGUUGAACCUCAGGGUACAACGACAGCAAUGGUACUGAUGACAUCCGCGUAGCCUAAUCCCUUGCAGAUUGAGCAUCUUUCCUUGGUGGCUUGUAGACACUGAAGUCACCGAAAUCCCGCCGUCCACUGCACCACACAAGAGGACAUACAGAUAGCAGUAAAUAUCUGGUGAUGAAAGGAAAUCUGGACGAAAAACAUCGCGACACAGAAAGAUCUUUUGAAGUCACUGGUACAUGGCUAAAACUUCACAUACAGCUUGGUAAAUUCAAGAAAAGGCAUAUAUGAAUGGCAACUAACCUGUGGUUAAUAUUCCAGCCAGAAGGUAAAUAACGGGGGUGAACAGCUUCAACAAAGAUCUGCCUCCAUCUUUGGCAGAACUGGUUAAUAGCUUCUUCCCCACCAUUUGAAAGCAAAAGUUCCACAACUUGUUUACCGUGAUGCCCAUGACCCAACAGGGAAAUCUUCUUCUCAGCAUUCUUGGAAAUGGCCUGGCUAGAAUUGUCGCGGAUGGAUAAUUCCCUGUCGACAUGGCUGUUUCCAGGAGUGCAGGUGCCUCUUGCUUGCUGCUUGGUAUCUGUCUUGAGUGUCACAGUGUCAUGAUCAAAAGUGGUGUCCUCCAUGCUGACUGGCAAACUUGAGCCAACCUGGCUCAGGGUUAAAUUCUCUAGCUGGUUUUGACUCUCUGUCUCGUCAAACUCCUGUUGACCAUUACUCUCAGUUCCAUCCUCAGGAAAUCGCUCAGAUAAGGAAUGAGAAUUUUCUGAUCCAUGUCCACUGUCUUCUGAGAUGGUAUUGCUGCUGCUCUUUCUAAUAAUAUUUUGAGCCUGAGCUCUGAACGAAUAGCCCUUUUUCUUUUCCAGACGCCUUCGCUCAUGAGGACUCAUACCAACAAGUAAUGCCACCUCGAGAUCUUCAGGAGUCACAUCCCUACCACCAUAAUAUGACUUCACAAUCUGCAAAGAACUGAACUGAUCCAUAACAGAGAUCUAUAGCUAAGAACAAGUACAUAUUUAACAAGGAAAGAAUAUGGACGGGUAGGAUAAAACAGGUAUGUUAAUACGUCAAUGCCAAAGCUCCCGAAACUGUGAAGUACUACAUAUUGAGCCAGAAAUACUAAAAGGAUGCCAUCACCUGCAUUAGCUCUUCACAUCUCUUCAAUGGCAUGGUGGAUCCAUGCCGUAGAAGAGCCAUGGCAGCGGUCCUCAGCUGCAAUGGGGAGACACCUGUUCCAUUCAAUUUAUCUUCAGAUACUGAUGUGCUCGUAAUCAAACUUAUAUCACCCGAGUUCAUUAUCUUUUGCACAAAAAGGGGUAUUCCAAAUUCUUCUGCUAUUCGCCUCUUGUAUUUCUCAGCUGCUGAAUGAGCAAUUUCAUGACAGUCUACACAAAGAAGUACAAUAUCAUGUGAACGAUGGCUCUUCAGAUGUUCUGGAAAAUGCAUCCUGUAGCAUGAUGGUAUUAUUCUGUAUCUAAUAUAAUGGCUCUUUUCUCCACAGCCAACACAAAUAUUUUUCUUGCUCUGAAUAUAGAACUCAUUAUCUUCGUCCUCUGGACGACCUUUAGGUUCAAAGAGAAGCAUGAUUGCUGGAGGACUAUCUUCAAUCAAUUUCGCCAAAUUACGUUGAACAUACCUGGGAAUGGGAUAGAAGAGCUCGUCAGUUUGACAAAAUACCUCUUCAUUCAUGCUACAUGCAUGUAAAUAGUUAAUGGGUGUAUAUUUAAGAGACAAACCAUUCCAAUUUUUUGUGGUCACAGUAGCAAAGUAGUCUUCCAUCACUAGCAUAAAUCCUGCAAUUGUGAUAUACAGGGGACUUGCAGGAGAACUUUUUAAUGAAUAAAUCCCGUGAAGCCUUUUUAUUAGGCGGUGCUGUCAGCAACUUUUCUCCACUUGGAGCAAAAGAAAACAUAUUUGUUUGCUUCAAACUUAGGUGUGUUAUAAGGUUAUAAUUAUAAACUGACAGUCGACAUAAUCCACUUGGAUCUUUAUACUUCUCCAGUAAACUUUUAAAGAUGCCUUCCAUGCUGGUAGUGAUGUCAUCUAGCAGAUAGCAAAGUUCUUCAACAUGAGCGACCACAAGAGGUGACGGUGAUGACAAGGAAGGGUACAUACUUGAAAUGCUUAGGUCAGUUUCUGAUAUGACAGCAAACACCUCUGUUGGGCCUUUUGGAAGACUAACAGCAAGGGCAGCUAUAGCUUGGUCUGACAGAACAUAUCGUAAGCUUUCAUCAUGCAUCCGAGCCUGGAAGGACCCAAAACCCAAGUUAUUAGGAGAUACUAGAAAGGAAGAACAGACCUGCAGCUACAUAACUGCAAAUAUGCAUGACUAUCCUGGUGACCACCAGAUGUCACUCGGGCAAGUUUAGCAAUGGGCACAUGGAAGCAACAAAUGCAUUUCCAGGAAGAACAAAGUGUACAACUUUCUAAGAAAUACUGAAGAUUGUCUGUUUUAACCCUUUAAUAACACGAUGAUGUUCCAAUGUUUGAUCCGGAAUUCAAAGAUUGAUAAAAAUGUUACUACAUCCAGUCAAGAAAAGUUCAUGUUUCAGACAAGUCAGAAACUAGUUUGCUGCUGCUUUCACUUGUCUGAACAUCAAGAUUUGCUGACCGGAGGUAACAACAAAUAAGUAAUUAAAAAGAUUUACUUUGCAGAGGGAGAGGGAGCCAUUUUAAGGGAAAUAGUUUUUUUUUUACUGACCAUUAAGUCCCUCCAUGCACAGAAUUUCCAAACAAGAUCCUGCAGAUGCAGAAGAUUAAAAAAUCAGGAACAGAAAAUACUAAAAUCGUUGGCUGGCAAGCUAACCAGAAGACAUUCUACAAUCAAACAGUGAAUACAUAAAAGAAGCACCUUCACUUCACUAGACUUUUUGGAGUCGAGACCAUGAGUUUGCAAAUUUCGUGAGAGAAUAGAUGCUGCACUGGAAGCUCCAGGAGGACAUUCAAUUUCUUUUGCAUACAGUUGCAUGCAGACCAUAUUUGAGCGAUGACUAGCCUCGAAGAAAAAAUUGAUUUUAUCACUGGAAGUAUCUGAUUAGAUAUUACAGAUGAUCAAAGACUUGAGACAUGUGAUGAAGGCCAAGGGUACCACCGUACCAAUAUGUGAUUUGAUGUUGACAAGAAAAGAGAAAAUAUUUAGGACUAUCCAAAUCUUAUGAGGGUUAAUGUAUCAAUUUCUGCAGUUCAGCAAUAGGAUGUCAUGAGUGCCUCAUCACUGCCAUCUGCCUUUCUUGGUCCCCCUUAAUACUGCUUCCUUUCUUAACUACACAUCAGGAAUAUAUAGAGAUGACACAUUGUGCUUACCAUUCAAAAGCUUAUGUUGACAUUGUGAAAAAAGUUUUUGACACUCAAAAUAAUAAGAAAGUGGCCAUCUAGUUUUCCGCAGGUGAAUAGGAUUGCAUAUGCUUGUUAAUGAAAUACCCCAGCUUACAUAACUCCAUAGUGUACGAUUCAAAGUUCUUUUUCCAUUGAUAGCACAUGCUUCCUAAUUUUAAUUGAUUAUUCACAGUUUACCCAGGAAAAUCCCAAGGCAUGGGUCGAAUAGUGUAAUUUUUAAAAAGGACUCAUCAUUUCCAAGGAUAAUGCAUUUCAUUUCUGAACCCCAGUACUAGCAAGAAGUGUUUCAAGCUGCUAGUGUCUAAGAAUGAAAAACAGCAUCAUCCAACUCAAGAACCAACAAUCCAAAGAACUUUUGUUCUUCAUACCAUGUGAAAUAGUUUAAAAACUUAAUGGAACUAUGACUUCUACACUCUGAGAUAGCAAGUUCAAAUAUAUUAGAUAACUGUGAGGUUACUGAACGGUGAACAAAAAUGAAGCACAAACUAUAGGAAAGGAAAAGCUGAUACAGCACUUAGAACAUACCACAGGCUUUUGCAUGGAGCUCCGAUGCCAAACAAUUUGCAAUGUACAACAGAUAGUGAGCAUCAGUGCGAGCAUACUCAAUCAUUUCGGGAGUCAGAGGACGCAGUCUCCAAUCUUCACGCUGGGGUUUCAAAAUCAAGGUAGGAAGAAACAAAAUGGGAGCGGAUAUCAGGCAAUUGCAAUAUUGGAAUUUUUGAGUUUCCAACAAACUUAUUUUGAAUACCAAAAGAAAUAUGGCUUACAACAUGUAUGUACUUGGUUAUCAUUUUCAAAAGCAUGUCAUCUAUUCAACACCAAACAUAAUGCUCGAUAGCAAGUAAGUUCAAGAAAAUAUCUUUUGUAAAGAAACUUAGAGUUUGCUCAACGGAAGAUAAAUUCAAAGGUGGUGAUCAUGAAUUAUCUUUAUUUGAAUUGAUUAAAACAGCAUGGGAACUAUGCAUUCAUAGAUGCAUGUAAUGACUCCACAUAAUUUAAGAUUUGACAACCAGGCUGUGAAGGAUGUAAAGACCAGUUAUUUGGAAACCAAUCAAAACUAACUGGGUAGGUUGGAGCUAAUGUACGGUGGACAGUUGACCUUAUAAGUUCUCAUGGGUAGUAAGCUACCUUACCUUGUUUAUAUUAAGAUAUAAAUUGAGCAAGUCAGAAUACAAGAUAAACAUAUGUAAGCCAAACAUGCCUUAAAAGUAUGUUUUAGCACUAUGUUUUGAAUAUAAUCUAUAUUUCUAUUCAACAACUGAAAAAAGUGGUAUCCCUGUAGUAAACUCUGACUCCAUGGGACAGCAUGCCAAGCAGACCCUAGAUCUGCUUCUUUGUUUUAUUGUAAUUUACAAUGUGAAAACAUAAUAAAUAGUGUACUCCUCAGUAACCGAAUACACUUUUUUAAGCAUUCUGCCUCAUAUUUCCCGUCCUCUCAUGGAAGCAUGAGUGCAUAAGGUCAACUGGCAUUGGAUAAAUGAGUGGCUUCACUGAACCCGGUACUUUUAAGCUGAUACUGAACGAUUACCUACCUGCAUGGUCUUGUCAGUGGUCACUUCACAAUAUACUUCAAGCAAAUAUGCAAGUGAUUUUUGUGGUUUUGAUAGAGUUUCACAUGCCUGUAAUAAAAUCAGUUGUAAGGCACAAUUAAGAAAAGAUGCACGCAUUCAUAGCAUAGAAAAAACAAACUAAGGAUGUAAAUUCAGAAAUGAAAAAAAAGGACGUUUCACACAAACUUAUCAAAAAAUUGAGUGAGGGGGAAAGAAAUAAAAUUGUUCAAAAACCAAAAGAUUUGUAAGCAUGAUUGUAGCAUGCGAUUAUACGGUGAGCAAAGAUGGUUUUAUAACUAAAAGUUCUGAACUUCUGAUUCUUAACUGCAAUGGCAUUCCACCACAUGAUAUGUUCAUUCACAAAGCUUUUCAUGUUGCAGUUAUGAGGUUGACAUUUCCAUGCUUCAGUAAUAGAAAGUAUAAUCAAUUAUCUGACUGAAAUCUAUUAUAUCACUUUUAAAAGGUGAGUGAAAAAGGAGGAACAAGAACACCACAUCAUCAUAUCAUUUCCCCGCCCUUGGACUAAAUGAACCAUAUAAUCUAGAACCUAAUACUGAAGCAAUCAAUAUCAUAUAGUAGCAUAGUACAAUUGAAAACAACCUGUUUCUGAGAAACCAUGAUAAAAGUAAUAAAGAGGGAGAUAACAUUUUUCUGGAUUGACAUUCUUAGUUAACUAGGUACAGUAUAGGGGGUCUUCCUUCAUUUGUUAAUAAUACAACUUUUUCAAGUGAUACAGUAUUUGUUAAUCAUAUUCCUUUCAUUUCAUAGAGCAGUUACAACAUGCAUACAUGUGAUGUGAUCUACAAAAAGUUAGAAAUGACCCAAAAAAUCACUAAACUACCUGCACAGAAUUGUUCCUUGUGAAAAUGGGGUGUCAAUUUAAGCAAUGCAUGCCACACAACAUGCUGUACCAAAAAGGUCUAGCAAGCAAAUGACAUUAAAUGUGUUACAUACCAGAAAUCUUUGCAGAAUAGAUAAAAUGCGUGAAAAGGAUAUGUUAUGCAGGUACUUACCUUGGCAGUAUCAAACAUAUUCACAACAUAAAUAUGAAAAUCCCUUUGAAGCCAAAGAACAUCAUUGUCAGCUCCAUGGAAUAUCUACAGCAUAAGGCAAAAGAGAAAUGUGUGUAUUUAGGAUGUCCUACACUCCUACAGCUUAUCUUUUAUUCUAGGCUGAGUAAUUGAGGGGCAUAUAAACACAGUAAAGGGAAAAAAUAAUCUGCUGACAUCAGUAGGUCCUACAGCUUAUACCUAUAAUGCAUAUCCGAAAAGUAAACUCAACUACAUUUCAAUGGCAUGUAAAUAGAGUUUGUGGCAGUAUCUUUGCUUGUACUGUAAUAGAGCUUAAAGUUUGCAGUCACCACUGAAAAAUGAAAAUAAAUGGCUUACCACUGGCAGGUGGCAGCAGG